rnacentral:rRNA from 1 species
GACAGAGGGUGCAAACGUUGUUCGGAAUUACUGGGCGUAAAGAGCGUGUAGGCGGCUUGGAAGGUCAGCUGUGAAAACUCGAGGCUCAACCUCGAGACGUCGGUUGAAACCACCUGGCUAGAGUCCGGAAGAGGAGAGUGGAAUUCCCGGUGUAGCGGUGAAAUGCGCAGAUAUCGGGAAGAACACCCGUGGCGAAGGCGGCUCUCUGGGACGGUACUGACGCUGAGACGCGAAAGCGUGGGGAGCGAACAGG